CACAUAACACAUGCAUGGUUCUACUUCACACGUAUAUUGGUUUAGGACUAGAGGAUUACUAGCGGACGGUAUACCGUUAGUACGGUACAAGUACGCCCCGAACAAUGACCUCCACGAGAGCCGGGACCUCACCAUCACGGUCCACCCACCGCGACUAGGGCGUCACAGUCGCUGCAAUAGGAUCCCGUUUCGACGGGAUACUGUACGGUAGUAUUUCCGUUAGGACUACUCGGGAAAGCGUAAAACGCGUCCACUGACCGCGUCCCUCUUCGUCCACAAGGGCAGCGAGGCUGCAGACAGCGUGCAUCGCUGUUCUCUGUCCAUCCACUGAUAGCGUCUAAUUCUGUUUCUGUCCCGAAUUGUGUGUGUUCAUGUGUAAGGUAGGGCAGUUCAUACAUGAAUACUAUGCAGUAGAUUGGUGGCUCGGUCCUACUCGUUUUUAGGACAAGUACUGUGAGAGUGUAUACAGAUUGGUGGCUUGGUCCUACAUGUUUUUAGGACAAGUAUUUUAAUCUAGAGCGUGAGUGUACGUGUGUGCACACGAUAAAAAC
rnacentral:lncRNA from 1 species